GUGUUUGUGUGGGCGGUGCCGUCCUAUGGAAUCUGUGGUGGAGAGCUUGUGCUGUAGGGAAGUGAGUGCGUUUUGGUCGCUGGUCGAGAAGCUCAGCCCAAGACCAGCAGAUGUGACAUGCCUCACUCAGCAUCCAGGAUUUGAUGCAUGCUGCCUGAAUCCGUUUGUGCUUAAGAUAGCGUACACACAUUUCAAGCAGGAUCAUGGUCCCCUUCAAGCCAGCACGCACGAGCAAUACCAGUACACUGCAUACAGGCAGGCUAUACGAUGGGCUUAUGGAGUUCUUGGCCUGCAUAUAAGGAAGCCUCUACCCUCCUGUCUGGUUUCAGCCAUCAGGCAACAAUUUCAGAGUGGUGACCAGACCUAUCAUGGCUUUCAAUGGCCUCGUUUGGAUGAAGAAUAAAAACCAUAUUGGCACGUACAACAUGAAUACAAUUAUUUUUCAGUUCAAGAAUUAACUCAUGCUAGUUGUGUUGCGAUCGCUCAACCGCCUUUAAAAUGUUAUAAAAUACACAGAACAUGUGAAUUCAUAUAAAAACAGUUUAUUAGGUCAUCCCAAGUAAUAGGGAUCGAUUACUGAAAAAAGGGACAGGUUGAAAGGCCUGAUAUAGUAAACAAAUCAAGAAAAAAAGGGUUAGGCACAAAGAAACCAACAUAAAAUAAUCUUGCAAUAGUGUGGUCUUACCUGAGGGUCAGUACUCACACAGCACAUUCUCUCACUCACUCACGGACACAUACAUGCAAUGAUAUCACAUAGAGCAGACGCAUAGUGAUCCAAGAGAAAAGCGCACACAGAGGUCCCUUUCGGAUUCUUACAAUUCUUACUUUUUAUGAAUUAUGGGGCAAAUGGAGCUGUAAUGGAAUGAUUUGUGCACACAACUAAGUAAAAAACCCAAGUAAUAAAAACAAAACAUGCGACAUGCAGUGAGGCGGUAACCAUGGUGAUGCUGAUAAAGGAAUGAAUGGGUUACAGCCAAAAGUAACCAAGAGAUAAUGUUAGUCGACAGAUGUUAGGGUCAGCGCAAGGGGUUAAAAUGUAAGGUUAUAAUAAACUUCCUGGAACAAUCAAAAAACCCAAGCAAUAAACAGCACACAAAGAGAAAACAAAACAUGCGGCAUACAGAAAACCACCACCAAAUAAAAUAACAUAUACUUACUAUAUACAUUUAUACAUACUCAC
rnacentral:lncRNA from 1 species